ACGACCUUUGCACCGUGGUGUUUCUCAUUUAGCAGCUGCCCCAGAGCCCUGCCGAGAAAGCGGUGGGUGAUGCGCAGAGAGCUCGGAGGAUGGGCAUGGCAGGUCAUCGCGGGACAAUGUGGCUUCUUCCCGUUGUCCUCCUUUUCCUUCAGAUGAUGCAGACAGUCAUACCAGGUGAUGCAAGGUCAACUUGGGAACUGUGAGCACAUCUGCAAAACUGAAGCUGGAGUCUUAUAUUCUUGUGCUGCUGGCUAUGCCCUGGGCAAUGACAAAACCUGUGUUUCUGUAGGUACAAAGCCACAUUUAUAGUUCAUUCUAUGGGACACAUCACGUCUGUACCACGUUUGGGAAAUGCUGAUGUGUUGCAGUGCCACUGUAGUAUAAAGAAUAAUGUUAAUUGUGCAGGCCUCUCACAUGGCUUACUUAAGCUGUUGAUAAUAAAUUUAGUAAGACCUUAGCUAAAGGACGUAACUCUAAGUAACAUCAAAUUAUGCAGCUGUGAGGGAUGUGUGGCAGCAAAAAUAGCUCAAGAAAGUAUUCUGUGCAAUUGAGUGUGUUCUCUCAGGGGACUACAAAACCCAUGUCCUGGCAGGGGUAAAGCCAUAUCAGAAGCUGGUGAUUACAACAGGGCUCAGGUUCCUCUUCUCCCAAAGACUGAAACAGGCCUUUCAUGCUAUGGAGGAUUUUAUUAGAAAGUAACAGGUUAGAUUUCUGAUUGAUAAAAGUUGGUGUCUAUUUUCAAGGUCUUUGGGACAUGCUGAACACCUACAGAUCCAAAUAAGUGGAAAUCCGAGAAACUUCUCCCUUUACAGUACACAGUUCACAAGGAUUCAUCAUCAUCUCAGUGGUAGUAACAUAAUAUGACUGAGUUAUAACUCACUUGUUUCUCGUCAAAUAUCACCUGUUCAAUUUGAAAGAAAUACAAUCUGCCUUUCUCUUUUCUUCUGACAACUGCAGGUUUUCUGCAGUUAACACGUGGCAACCUAAAUACAUUAAUAACAAGUUACACUUUGCCUUCAUUCAAAUUGACCAUUGCCAUGAAAGUUGGAACUACUUCAAUGUUUCUGUGGCAGUACAUUCUUUACAGAAACAAGCUGGACUAGAAUAAUAUCAAAGCAAGACAGUAUCAGAGUUGGACAGCACUUUAAAAGCCUCUGAAAAGGCUACCUGAUUUUCUAGAUCUAUAAGCAUGUAUACAGGAAAAAACCUAGAAAAUGUGAAAACCACUCAUGUGCCGGCAAUCUCCGGCAAAUGGGACGGGGGGCCCGGACAAGUGUUCCAGGAGCUUUUAUCGGUCUCACAUACAGAGUUGAGACAAAGUUGGUACAGAGCUCAUGCUGUCACAGAGACAUCCCCUGAUUUCCUGGCUGCAAAGCAUUCUUAAAAGCUUUUUUGGCCAAUAGUGUGCUUCUAAAAGUAACAGACAUCUGUCUUAACCUAUCUAUAAUAGCGCAUGUACCUCCAUUGUACACAACAGUCACUUGUUAUGCCUUAUAUAAUAACAUACAACAUCCCAUUAUUAAGCUUAAACUUACCUCUCUAACAAAAUAUACUUUUUGCAACCUCAGCAUCCAUCUAGGCCAAGCCUAAGAACUAACCAUUGUCUUUUAAUGUCCUUGCUGCUUAUAACUGUAUCUUCUUCUAAUUUUCCCAGGCAAAGCUGAAUUCUAAAUCCCUUACUUUAUUUCCUGAGGUCUGCUUCUAUUUCUCACACCUAAAAUCCUUUCCACCUUUUGUGAUUCCCCACAGUCAUGUAUCCACAAGAGUCUAAUUAACAGUGCAUGUCACUGAGUGAAAUGAGCUGUUAGAUGAAGUUCAUUGAAUUGGAAAGGCUUGGUUAUCGUCACCAAAAUCACUGCUCUUCUGAUAUCUUCUUGCUUUCUUUCUGAGAUACUUUCUUCACCAGUGUUAUUGAUAGAAUGAUUUUGGCUAUAAUAAAGUGAAUGCAUUGCAUACCCUAAAAA